ensembl:snRNA U6 U6 spliceosomal RNA
GUGUUCACUUUGGCAGCUCCUAUACUAAAAUUGGAAUAAUACAGAGAUUAGCAUGGCCCCUGCACAGGAUGACAUGCAAAUUCAUGAAGAAAUAACAACCCAA